AAUGCAAAAAAUAAUCACAGUAAAGCAGAUAAGGCACAUUCCUUGCAUGCAGCAAACCCAGCCCACCCAGCCCAGAUUCAGUCCCCAGUACCAUUGAUGGUUCUCUGAGCACUACCAGCAUUGAACAUUGGAGGCAGAGCCAGGAGCACACCUGAAUGUGAUGUAAAAGCCAAAAAAUGAGAAUUUAUAGCACACUAAUGUGGCAAACAACUAGAAGUUAGUUUAGGGGCCUGAGCAAUAGUACAGUAAGACAUUUGCCUAGGUCCAAUCUGUGGCACCCCAUAGGGUCCUUGGGCCUGCCGGUAGUGAUCUUUACACACUACCAGAUAGGGACACUUCCACUCUCACAAGUUAAAAGAAAUCUCAAACUUCAGUAGGUCAUAUUGUCGUAUCUAAACGAUUCAAGCAGGUAAGCAGUAAGUAGAUGGAAGAAAUGUUUCAGAUUUCACGAGUUUUUUCUUCAGGUGCCCAGGUUUAUGGCCCGGCGUGCAGUAUGUAUUUUCUACCGCUGAAUCAUGUUCUCAGUUUAUUUCUUAGUAAAAGGGAGUGACACAACCACCAAGUUAAAAGUUGUCUAAACUCAACAUUAUAUAAUAUUUUGAUUAUCUUUAUUUAUUUUUUUUAAUUAACGCGCCAUGGUUUACAAAGUUAUCUGUAGUUGGCUUUUAGCCAUACUGUUGAAGCACCAAUCCACUAUCAGGGUUCCCAGGUUCCCUCCCGCUUCCCACCCCCUAUCCCAAGCCUACCCUUGACAGGCACAUUUUUGUUUUCAGUGUUGCUCUGGUUUGGAUACUUAGCUAUACCACUCCUUUAUACCAUCAAUAUACUUGGAUCCCUUUCUGUUCCCCAUGGCUUCCCAUCCAGCUCUACUACAUCUUCCGCUUCCACCCUUGAUUUCUUUCCUCUGUCCUUCCUGUACAUUGGGGCAAAGUGUGUCAGCAUUCCCGCUCUCAAACACUGGAUUCCUCUGUCCAAUUAUUCUCUGAAAUGUCUAUUUUUAAUAGAACUGUAAGUGAAAAUAGAUAUUAAUUCCUUCUAGGAUGCUGUGCUCAACCAAAUAGAAUUUUUUGGAUGGGAUUUUUUUUUUAACUUGUGAAUAAGUGCUAGGGAAAACUUCUUAGCCACUAGAGGGAGCUAAGAUACAAAAUCAACCAGGAAAUCCUACUAGAUAUCUACUAGAAACAAAUAGCUGACUUGUAGUCUAUUUUAGUCCUAUAUCAGCUCCAAAGUUAAGUUUAAUUACUGUAACUUUACCUUUAUAUUACCAUCUGUUGGGAUUUUUUUUUCCCUUUGCAGUUAGGUUUUGAUUGGAACUUGGGUAUGGAAAUAAAUCAGAAAACAUUUCAGGCCUGAGACUUAGAAGAAAAUGAAGAUAUAAAUUCUCCCUACCUUGUUCAGCUCCAGACCCAGUAGAGCUUUCUGCCACUGCUCAGGAACAGGGUGAAAUGCUUCAAGUAGUUAUGGAUAGCAGGUAAGCUUAAGGAGUAAGUGCCGAGUACCGCUGCGUUCCCUUGUGCUAACCACAGCUCUCCAGCUCCCUGUGCCUCCUUUUAUUGGCUGGGCCCCGUGAUUGUAUAGGACUUUAGAUAGCUUCUAGCUCAGAGACUUUUCAGGGUCAGGAAGCAUCCUUAUUGGAAUUAAAUCCUGGAGCUUUAGCUAGAUCUCAUGCAGUCCUAGCCUGAGUUGCCAUCUUUUGCAUUGCUUUCUAGACUGGAGUAGACUUCCUAAAGCUUAUGCUAGCCUCAUGCUGUUGCACCCGGGUCUUAUAUUACCACUCUUCUUUUGCUCGCUCAGUGAGCAUACUGGCUAAGUUCCUCAAUAUGCUUCAUUCCCCGUUCCCUUCACUGCCAGGCAUGGAGAGGGACUCAGUCAAAGAUUAGAUUGACCCAAUAAGGCUUUUUCUUCUUCUUCCUAUCUAGGCCAAUGAAAGGGAGAAGGAGGAGUGCUGACUCAAAAAGAGAGAGCCAUUAUAAUCUGCAUGUAUUAAUAUCCUUACUUUUUGGAGACUUCUGAGGAAACUGAAUUCUUCUGAACUCUGGACUAACCCCAAAUACAUUAUGAAGAAGAAAUUGAAGAGAUGUUUCUAUAGGAGUUUGGGAGACUUCUUGGACUGGAGACACUCGUUUAAUAAUAGCUUGUUUGAUACUCCAGUAGUUGCCUGUAGAUGAGGAAAGGCAGAAAACCUUCCUGCCACCACCCUGCGAAGUGCCAGUAGCGGCGACGCCUACACACACGAAGACUUGGAACUGCCGCGGAGGCUGGGGUCACCUCUGACAUCUGACGCUGUCCAACCAGAAGUUUAAUUUUGUUUUUCUUUGGGGGGUGGUGGUGGGGGAACGGGGCGCUGCUUGUACUAAAGGACUAAAAUAAU